rnacentral:lncRNA from 1 species
CAUAAGAGAAUGUAGAAGCUUACUACCUGCUCUAAGAAAAGAACCCAAGGAGUCUCUAGUAACAUAGCCAGCAGCAGCUUUAGAACCUUCAACCGAUGCAUCAAGUUAAUUAUGAGAACUCCAAUGGGAGGGGAUUACCAAGGCACCAUAGGAUGAUUGAUAGUUAGCAGAUGAGAGGAAUAGCCACCCCAGCACUAUAAAAGAGUUAUAUUAGAUGC